CCCAUCAGAUCAUCUUCAUCACCAACAUGUUCUCUGUAGCUCUGCUGCUGCUGCUGGCUGCUGGAUCCUAUGUAUCAUGUGAAACUCUGACUCAGCCAGCAUCUUUAACUGUGCAGCCAGGUCAACGUCUGACCAUCAGAUGUCAGGUCUCUUAUUCUCUGGGCUACCGGACAGCUUGGAUCAGACAGGCUGCUGGGAAAGGACUGGAAUGGAUUGGGGAGAAAGGCACUGGAGGCUCCUACUACAAAGACUCACUGAAAAACAAGUUCAGUAUUGACUUAGACACUUCCAGUAAAACAGUGACUUUUAAUGGAGUGAAUAUGCAGCCUGAAGACUCUGCUGUAUAUUACUGUGCCAGACGACCACAGUGA